UACGAAGGGGCUAGCGUUGCUCGGAAUCACUGGGCGUAAAGCGCACGUAGGCGGAUUGCUAAGUCAGGGGUGAAACUCCCGGAGCUCAACUCCGGAACUGCCUUUGAUACUGACGAUCUAGAGAUCGAGAGAGGUGAGUGGAAUUCCGAGUGUAGAGGUGAAAUUCGUAGAUAUUCGGAAGAACACCAGUGGCGAAGGCGG
rnacentral:rRNA from 1 species